CGCAUUCUCUUUUUCUGAAUUAGGUUUCUUUCCAAUUACUCUAUUUCAGAAUGUUUUAAUCAUUUUUUUUUGAUUUUAUUGUUCAAAAUCUAGUUUGAUGGAAUUGUUUGAGGUUAUGCUCAUAAUCAUACCCAAUAAUAGGGUAAGAAAGAAGAUUUGAAGAUCUUGAAGAUGAGAAAGAUGUGCAUUCUUAUCCCAUAUAUAUCUUUGAUGAAUUCGUUUAAUUUGGGAAGAAAUUCUUAAAACUUAAAAGAAAUCAAAAUGGUCAUCAACGUCAGGUUCCUCAUAAAAUAUUGAGAAAGCAUUUAACAUGGUUAUUGAUAGUAAUGUUAAGUGAAUAAAUGAAUUCACAGUAUAUAGUUUUCUCUAAUCAGAUACAAUUGAAAUAUUGAAUCUAGGAGGAUGCUGUAUAUAUGUUUGUCUUCUUCAGCUUCAUCUCAAAAUGGUGGAGGAUGGGAUUGGUAGUUGUUGCUCCAUAUGGGAUUGGUAAAUACCCUGUAAUAACUAAAUUAAGAGAUGAAAAUGAUAGAGCUGUGUUAUCGUUACUAUCGGAGCUGCUGCUUAUGUUACAAAAUUGUAGCCAUGUCUGACCGUCCGCGGCCUACUUAUGAGACUCCUGAUUCUAGGUUGUCGAGA